GUUAGGAAUAUUGGACAAUGGGCGCAAGCCUGAUCCAGCCAUGCCGCGUGAGUGAUGAAGGCCUUCGGGGUGUAAAGCUCUUUAGCCGAUGAUUAUAAUGACUGUAGUCGGAAAAUAAGCCCCGGCUAACUUCGUGCCAGCAGCCGCGGUAAUACGAAGGGGGCGAGCGUUAUUCGGAAUCACUGGGCGUAAAGCGUGCGUAGGCGGCUUUGCAAGUUGGGAGUGAAAGCCCAGGGCUCAACCCUGGAAUUGCUCUCAAAACUGCAAGGCUCGAAUUCGGGAGAGGAUAGCGGAAUUGUCAGUGUAGCAGUGAAAUGCGUAGAUAUUGACAGGAACACCAGUGGCGUAAGCGGCUAUCUGGACCGAUAUUGACGCUGAGGCACGAAAGCGUGGGGAUCAAACAGGAUUAGAAACCCCAGUAGUCC
rnacentral:rRNA from 1 species